rnacentral:rRNA from 1 species
GACGAACGCUGGCGGUGCGCCUAAUACAUGCAAGUCGAACGGUGAACGGGGCUUCGGCCCCCGGAUCAGUGGCGAACGGGUGCGUAACACGUGGGCAAUCUGCCCCUCACUCUGGGAUAACCCCGGGAAACCGGAGCUAAUACAGGAUACUCCGGCCGGACCGCAUGGUCCAGCCGGGAAAGGUCCGCCGGUGAGGGAUGGGCCCGCGGCCUAUCAGCUCGUUGGUGGGGUAACGGCCUACCAAGGCUUCGACGGGUAGCUGGUCUGAGAGGGCGGCCAGCAACACGGGGACUGAGAUACGGCCCAGACUCCUACGGGAGGCAGCAGUAGGGAAUCUUGCGAAAUGGGCGAAAGCCUGACGCAGCGACACCGCGUGAGGGAUGAAGGCCUUCGGGUUGUAAACCUCUUUCGGCAGGGACGAAGCGAUCGCGACGGUACCUGCAGAAGAAGCUCCGGCUAACUACGUGCCAGCCGCCGCCGUAAGAC